CCACCAACCACAGUGUAGCUGCUCUCCUUAUUAUCCGAUGGCACCUCCAGGAUGAAGGAGGCGGAGGCGGAAGUGCUCACACAACGGCAUUCAUCCUGUAACGCACAACGGUGAAUGCAGGAGGUUCACACACAGCUGCAGACGCACCUGGCCAUUUAGCAGAGCUAUAUAGAAAGUCACACCGAGACUGCAUUAAGGGACGACCCUUCGCUUAUAUCUAAAGCAGGGCAGAUGCGUUUAUCCCUCCCAGCCCUUGCCGCAGAGAUGAAGUGUGUUCUCAUUCAGAAGACUACUCAAACGAAGCUGUAUCCAUGACGGAGUGAAACCACAGACGUCAGUGGCAAGUGGCAUCGUCAUCAGAGAAAACGGCGUUAGCGGAUGACGCUCGGUGACGUCUGUCACAUCUCUGCCCUGUGCUGUCUGCUUGUCGGGCUUCUAGCUGUCCUGUCAGAGAGCUGCUGUGAGCAUCACUGUUGUUAAUAAGGGAAACGAGGCCCUCCGUUGUAAGGGACUGGUCGUAACCAUGCGUGAAGUCCGUACGCGCUUAUGGAAUAGGCUGGUGCUUGUCUGGGGCCCUCAGACUCUCUUCCUUCCCUGUUGAUGCGCAAGGUUGAGUUUUAGACUCAUUCUGAUUUGGGAGCCACGGGGCUAUGUAGACGGUUGACUGUCGCUGAAAAGAGUUCGUCGCUCAAAAUUCCCAAGAGGAGACGAUGCCUACACGAUGGCAAUCUUCAUCAGUUCUGGAGUUACCAGGACAAGUCGGCAGCUCUCAGCCAGAGGGUUCUUUUGAGUCUGGGCGGAUCAAGCAGUGAUUUUGUUUUUUUAAUUGUCACAAUGUGAGGCCACUGCUGGCAUCUAGUGGCAGAGGCCUAGGAUGUCUCCGCCAUCUCCAGGUGCUCCCUGUGGCCUCCAGGACCAAGUAUCCCAGUGUCCAAUAACAAUAGAGCUCAAGUUGAGAAAUCUUGGAUUGAACCAAACCCUUGGACCAGCCCAGGCUGUGUGACUUCCACCAAGGCAGAGCUAGUCUUGUAAACAAGGACUUACUGAAUUGGGAUGCCCUCCUACUUCCCUGUGACCCUUCCCAAACCAGGACAAGCAACUCCUGCUGACCCUGGAGUCUUGCUCAUUGCACAAAUUCACCAGGCUGGGCUGGAGUUCUGGGGAUACUCAGCUGAUCUUGACCCCUGGCCAUGCUGACCCCUACGGGUCCCAACUAGUCACCAUCCCCUGCAAGCGGAAUCCUUCCUCACAGAGGUGAGCCUGAGGCGUCGCCGGGUGCCAGUGCUUUGUGUUUUCUGUGUGAUCCUGUGCGAAGGAAGGCAGUGUGGUUAGAUUUCCACCAGUCUUUCCAAUCGAAGACAGAAACCCGGAGCUUGGACCUGGCUCAGAAACAAGGUCUUUCUAUUAGCUAUUUCUAGACCAAAGAAAUAAAUCACACACAGGCACACACACACACACACACACACACACA